AGCAAACCUCAUUGUUGUCUUAUUGUAAGAAGUCGCCACAGCCACCCCGUCCUUCAGCAAUCACCACCCUGAUCGGUUGGCAGCCUUCAACAUCAAGGCAAGACCCUCCACCAGCAAAAAGACGAUGACUCGCUGAAGGCCCAGAUGAUCACUAGCAUUUUUAGCAAUAAGUAUUUUUAAAUUAAGGAGACUCUGUCCUCCUGCCUGUGCUCUACCGCCCGGGGCGCCGGGCACCUCUUUUUUAUGAGUUGCUCUCUGCCUUCCAGUAAGCCAGCAGCUUUCCACGGAAGUGCCUUGGCUUGAGAGAGGCCUGCAGAAACCAGCAGGGACAGGAUCUCUGAGAAGUUCCCCAGCAGCCUGAACAUCGGAGCCACUGAUCUUCCAGAUAAAUAGGGGCAGACAAAGGCGAGUGAGCAGUGAGCUCCAGAGAAACCAGUUGUGUCCGGCCGCAAAAAUAAUGUCCCUGGCUGCAAAGUGGACUCAAAAUGGACUAAUAGGCAAUUAGCACCAGAGUGCCCCUACCCAGCCCGGAGCCCAUUAGACGCAGGACGGCUUUAACCAAAUCCUGUCUUAAAGAGCUCUGUUGAGAGUCUCCAUAAUGUAAGUAGGGCCUUAAUGGGGAAAAACAGCCUGGUGACGCAGGUGAAGAGAGCGGUUCUUAGUGGGAGCUUAUAAGUGGGCUGGAGGCAGCCGAGCACUAUUGAGGUGCUCUGCAGGGGCAGGUGGAGGCAGAGGCGGUUGCGUUUCAGUCCAACCUGUUCUGGUUAGCUCUGUUCCAGGGCUUCCGCCUAUCCCCAAAUCUCUUCCAUAUUUGGAGCCCAGAAGGGCACCACCGCUGUGGUGUAACCUGCGUCUCCACCUCCGCCCAGGGUGGUCAGAUCUGGUAUGUUCUGGGGACUGGAAGCAGGUGUUCAGGCUCCAGGCCUGCAUGUGUCUGUGACACUGGCCUUGGCCCUGUGCCUUGAGUUCCCUUCCCUUUACUCUCUCCCUCCCUGGUGAGGCGAGAGUAUGGCUGACAUCACCUACCCUCUGGGCAGCACCUUAGGGUCUCACCCCUGGCUGCCUGCGGGAGCCACUAGGUGAGCUUUCCAAAUGCUGAUGCCCAGGCAAGAUCCUGAGAUUCCAAUCGGUUGGUCUGGAGUGGGGUCCCAGCAUGGGGACCGUAAAAGCUCACCCACUGGCUCAUGUGCACCCAGGGCUGAGCCCCACUGGUCCCCAGGGCCUGUCCCGUUCAUGCCCUCUCUGCUGGUUAGCCAGGCCCUACAGGGAAUUAGGCAGGUGUACCUUAUUAGAUCCCAUGCUUGAAUGAGACACCUGGGUAGCCUCUUAGACCCUGGAGCAGGAGCCCUCAAGCGGGUUCCCAGACUGGCAGCAUUGGUGAAAUGCAGAGUCUCAGGCUCAGCCCCAGACCUAUGAACUAGAAUCCCGCAGGUGGGGUCCAGCCAUCUAAGUUUUAACCAGCCCUCAAAUUUGAGAAUCACUGUGCUAGAAUAGUGACAGAAUUAUCACCGCAGUUCAGUGCUUUUGAAACUUUAACAUGGACAGAACUCAUCUGGGCAUUGUAUUAAAAUGUAGAUUCUGGGGCUGGGCGCGGUGACUCAUGCCUAUAAUCCCAGCACUUUGGGAGGCCAAGGCGGGCGAACGAGGUCAGGAGAUCGAGACCAUCCUGGCUAACACGGUGAAACCCUGUCUCUACUAAAAAUACAAAAAGCUGGGCAUGCUGGUGUGUGCCUGUAGCCCCAGCUACCAGGGAGGCUGAGGCAGGAGCAUCGCUUAAACCUGGGAGGUGGAAAUUGUAAUGAGCCGAGAUCGUGCCACUGCACUCCAGCCUGGGCGACAGAGCAAGACUCCAUCUCAAAAAAAAAAAAAAAAAGUAGAUUCGGCUGCAGUCUGAGCUGGGGCCACAGUUCUGCAUUUCUAACAAGGUCCCAGGUGCUGCUGCAGGUCCCAGGCCCACACUCCGAGCAGCGAGGUCACAGGUGGAGUCAUCAAGUGCCUUCUGCAGGCUGGACACCGGACUAAGCCCAAGCUUGGGCCCUCUCCUUUCAUCUUCCCUAAAUCAUCUGACUUCAUCUCGCUUCAGCUUCGCAGUGGCUCAUGCCUGUGAUCCCAGCACUUUGGGAGGCCAAGGUGGGGGGAUCACCCUUAGGUGAGAGGUCAGGAGUUUGAGACCAGCCUGACCAACAUGGCAAAACCCCGUCUCUAUGAAAAAUACAAAAAUUAGCUCAGCGUGGUGGCGGACACCUAUUAUCCCAGCUAUUCAGGAGGCUGAGGCUGGAGAAUUGCUUGAACCUGGAAGGCGGAGGUUGCAGUGAGCUGAGAUCAUACCACUGCACUCCAGCCUGGGUGACAGAGAGAGACUCCGUCUCGAAAAAAAAAAAAGAAAAGUAAAUAAAUAAAUACAUAAAUAAAUAAAGCAUACAAUUCCAUGGGUUCUGGUAUAUCCACAGACUUGUGCAACCAUUGCCAUGAUCCAUUUUAGCAUUUUCAUCAUCCCAAACAGAAACCUCUCCCCUCAGCCAGCCCUCUCUCCACUCCCCAUCCCCCCAGCUCCAGGAAACCACCAUCCGCUUUCUGUUUCUGUAUUUGCUAGUUCUGGACAUUUCAUACAAAUGGAAUCACACACCAUGUGGGCUUUUGUGUCUGGCUUCUUUCACUCAGCAACAUGUUCUCAAGGUCUGCCCUUGUGGCACCCGUCAGAACCGCAUUCCUUUUGAUGGCUGAAUAAUAGUCCAUUGUCUGGAGAGACCACGCUUUGUUUAUUCAUUCAUCUGUUGAUGGCUACUUGGGUUGUUUCCAUUUUUUGGAUAUUGAGAACAGUGCUGCUAUGAACAUUUGUUUACACAUGAGGACGUGGAGGCGGAGGCAGCCACCUGGGCUAGGUCCCUAACCAGGGCACGCUGCAGCCGGCUGUCUGCCUCACAGUCCCAUGUGCCUCUGCCUCCCACUGCCCACCUCAGAGGCCCAGGGCCGCAGCAGGUGAGGUGGAGGGGGCUGCACUUGUUUCCAUGGGGUUGUUUCUGGGACUUACAGUCAGAGCUCCUGGAUGUGCAUCUUGGCUCCAUUCCUUCCUGGGGGACCUUGGGCAGCACACGUAAGCCUCAGCCUCAGUUUCUCCAGUAGACAAAUGAUGAGUCUAUUAAGGGCUGUGUAUUGAGGACAGAAUGAGAAUGAAGAAAGCCAGAGGGGCCUGAGAGAGGUGAUCAGGAGGAGGAAGGCGGGGAGAGAAAGAGGGAGGGAGAGCGAACCUGAGUGCCUGCCCCACCCGACUCCCGACCUCCGUGAGUAGAGGGCUGAAGCUUUCCCCUCCUCCCACAGCCAUUUACCCAGCUCUGGGGGUAAUUGCUAUAAUUUCAAGGCUGGGUAAUGCCAGCAGAUUAGAGAGGGAAAGGCUCCCUCGGGUUCAGCCGGCACAUUAGGCACAGUUAUAAAUGUCAGCGCUGAUGGCUCGUCAAGAGCCCCAGGAUGGGGGCACAAGCUCCCCACUGUCCUCAGGCCCAGCCCUUCCCCCUCCUCUGGGCUAGAACCCGAGUGUAAGGUACUGCACUCCCCACAGCUCACCCUCCACCAUCAGCCCCCUCCUGUUCACCUCUGCUCAGUGUUCAGACCCUGCUUCUGCUGCCUGGUGUGCACCCUUGGGCAAGGCUCUGAGCCUCAACUGCAAAAUGGGCAGCAACAACAGCACAUGCUCCAUCAGCCGCCCUCGGCACUGUGGGCCCUGGUCAUCCUCCCAGCGAUACUGAGGGAGAUGCUCUGGGACCCCAUUCGUCAGGAGGUGAAGAGAGAUGAGGCCCCAGCCUGCGCCUCCAUUUCCCCAUCUGCAAAAUGUGGAGGUUGGGUAAGAAGAGGAGACCCCUGAGUGCGCUUCCAGCCUUCACGGUCUCUGCUUCUGUCCUGAGGGUUGUGUGGCAGAAACCCUGGGCGUCAGGCAGGACAGGGGGAGGCAGUGGGGAGAGAGGUUGAAAGAAGGCUUCCCCACAGUGGGCUGCUCUGCCUCCACCGGCCUCCUGAGGCUGCCAGGAGUGUUUUUCUCCCGUGGGGAAAGCCUGUGGGGUCCCUUCCUCAGGGCCUUUGCCAAGCUCAAAGGAGGUGCCAUUAGUCUCUUGGGGAGCUCUAAGGGUCUGAGUCUCUAGAGCACAUGCAGGGGUCCCCUAUGCGUGUGAGAAAAGGCUUUGGGUCCCUAGGGAGGAGACCAGGCAUGGGACAACCUGUCCUUCCCACCUUUCUUCCCCUCCCUUCCCUAUUCCCAGCGCUAUAUCAUGAACAUUUGCAGACAUGAGAAAAGCUGAAAGGAUAAUACAGAGAACACCUUUGCAGCCACCACCUACAACUGUACCGUCUGCCCCCUGCCCCUCUGCCCCUUCAUCUGUCCAUCAAAUUUUUGAUGUAUUGCAAAAUAAGUUGCAGAUGGACACCGCACCCCGAGACAGGCUAGCAUGCACGUCACUCACUGGAGUUCAGUAUUUGUUAACUGUUUUUUUUUUAGGGUGAAAUUUAUACAUAAUGAAAUGGACAAAUUUUAAGGGUAGCAAUCAAUGCAUCUUGACAAAUGCACACACAUGUGAGGCUCAAGCUCUUCAAGACAGAGGGUGUCACCGUUGCCUGGAAAGUUCACCCUUGCUCCUUCCAGUCCCUAGAAACAGCUGCUGUCUUUUUUUUUUCCAACAUCGCUUGGCUUUGCCUGUUCUAGACAUUCAUGUAAAUAGAGCCAUACAGUAUGUUUUUUUGUUUUUGUUUUUGGCGGGGGAGGGGGCGUGGUUUCUUUUGCUAAGCAUGUUUAUUUUGAGAUUCAUCCAUGUUUUCUUGGGUAUUGGUAGUCCAUUCCUUUUUAUUGCAAAGUAGUAAGCCACUGCAUGAAUAGAGCCUGCUCAUUUACCCGUGGAUCUGUUGACCCUUUGAGUUGUUCCCAGUUUGAGGCUGUUAUGAAUAAAACUGUUGUGAACAUUUGUGUGUGAGUCUUUGUGUGGACAUGUUUGCAUUUCUCUUGCAUAAAUGCC
rnacentral:lncRNA from 10 species